AUUGGGUAUAUACUUCUUACUAGGCAAAUUGUUGAAUGUGUACACUGAUAUGUAAGCUUUGAAAUGAUGAUUUUGGGGUGAGAGAAAAUUGAUAAAACAAUUACACAACAAUAUCACAGAUUUGAUAUAUAGAAGAGAAUGAAAUUUUUAUGAUGCGUUGGUUUAUUGAUAAGUGUGUAGUAUUUUUUUGUGUCGUAUAUAGUUUUGUCAUUACGUAAUUAUUCAAUGUUUGUUGUUUACAUGAAUGUAUUGUGGUUACUUUAAAAAGUGUAACUAUACUUAGUAUACUGUGAGAUCAAAAGCCUUGGAAAUAAGACUAGACUUGGGCUGAUGCCAUAAAUCAUGGGUUGCUGAGAAGCUUUCUUCCUUUUUGUCAAGAGGACUAUGCCCAAAGAUGCUUUAAGUCUUGAGGUGAUUGGCUAGUGCCUUUCCUUGACAUGAUACCUUGACAUUACCUUUCAAACCUGUUUGUGUGCUUGAUUAAAUGGAGAAAAUUAUUCCAAGAAUCUGCUUAACAAUGCUACUUUUGAUUUAUUUUAUUUUGGAUUCUAAACAGGGGAAUAAGCUUCAACUGAUAUGUUGACAGUUUUAUAUUACCCAAAGAUAGUGCAAAAGCAUUAUGUUUGACCAAUAGAUAGCACUCGUAACUUCCUUUGACUACUAUCCUCCCUCCACCCUAUUGACCAAUUGAAGAGCAUAAAAAAAAGUUCGAUGUGGCAUGAGCCUUAAUUGUUGGCUUUCCCAUCUAUGGUAAUGUAUAUAUUGGAAAGCAAUAUGACAUAUUGUUCCCCCGAUUUACUCUCUCUCCACAGUAUUGGUACUUGAUAUUAAGGUUCAUACAGGAUAUUUGGGUUCUCUCUUAGUACCCUAUCAAUAGUGUUAUGAAAUAUUUUACUUAGAAUUUGGUUAUUACAUAUUAGUCAGGUUAAAAAGAUAAUAUUAUCUUAGUGGAUUGGCGGCAGUCAAUAAUCCAUAACUUCAGGCGGAGGAGGGAGCACUUUCAAAUAGUAUUUCUAAUCUAAUGCUAUUUUUUCAUUCAUUAGUUUGUAAUUUUGUUAGACUGAAUGCCAAUCAGGUAGCCUGCACAAGUGCCCGUCAUACGCUGUUUAUGCCAAGAGCUGGAGGUGUGGUUUGUCUUGAAAACUUUCCAAACAUCAUAACUAAUGUAGAACUUGCUGAUUUAGCUGAUGACUAAAUUACUACGUUUCAGUUUAAAGAAAGACAAAGAAUAAAGAAAGAAAGCAUUGUUGGUUUUAGUUUCUUGCAAAUGCUUUAAAAAUGUGUUAAAUUUGGAAAUUUAUUUUCAGCAUUCAUGAGUUUAGUGAUGCUGUGCAUCAUAUGCACACUUGUUAUAUGACAAUGUUGAAAUGCUUAUAUGCUAGGAAUCUGUGUUAUCUGUCUAUUAGUACUAUCAUUUCCCCUCAUUUUGGAUGCUCGUGAGUUUUUCAUGUAAUAUUAGCGUGAAAUGUAGUACUAGUUGAUCAUGAAUUCAUAGUGAAAUUCUUGCUGACAUUUUAACAUCUUCCAAUUGAUGCAGGUAUCAUCUUUCUUCUACUUCUGCAAGUUGAUCGUUCCACAUUUCUUGACCAUGGCCAUUGGCAUAGCAUUAGUUGUUGCGUUCACAUUGUUCUUUGUGUAUGAGCAAUAUGAGGACGAAAUUGAUGGGAUGGCAAAGGUUGUAAUCAACCGUUUGAGGAAGGCUUGAUCUCUUUUGCAAGGAAUCUACCAAUGCCGUUGACCUCAGUUUUAUCAGAUUGUGAACCUUUGAAAGAGAAGAAAUCUUUGUGAUUUGUUUGAUAACCUGCAAUUAGAGCUCAUCCAUCCUUUACGUGCCUACUAACUUUGAUCUUUGAUUUCUCUUCCGAUUGUAGAUAUUGUAUACAAUAGCUUUUGGAGUUACAUGGCGAAAGAGCCAUAUUUUCUCUUUUGAGUAGGUUGUAGAUGGAAGUGUUAUUGAUUAUAACCACUAGUGGAAUUACAAAAUAAAUGAAUUGAAGUUAAUACUAUGUAUAGCGGAUUCACUUCUAC